rnacentral:rRNA from 1 species
AGGGUAGCCCUACUUCGCCUCGAUUU